GACGAACGCUGGCGGCGUGCCUAAUACAUGCAAGUCGAGCGAACCAAUGGGAGCUUGCUCCCUGAGGUUAGCGGCGGACGGGUGAGUAACACGUGGGUAACCUGCCUGUAAGACUGGGAUAACUUCGGGAAACCGGAGCUAAUACCGGAUAAUUUCUUUUCUCGCAUGAGGAGAGAUGGAAAGAUGGUUUUGCUAUCACUUACAGUUGGACCCGCGGCGCAUUAGCUAGUUGGUGGGGUAACGGCUCACCAAGGCGACGAUGCGUAGCCGACCUGAGAGGGGUAUGGGCCACACUGGGACUGAGACACGGCCCAGACUCCUACGGGAGGCAGCAGUAGGGAAUCUUCCGCAAUGGACGAAAGUCUGACGGAGCAACGCCGCGGGAGCGAAGAAGGCCUUCGGGUCGUAAAGCUCUGUUGUUAGGGAAGAACAAGUAUCGGAGUAACUGCCGGUACCUUGACGGUACCUAACCAGAAAGCCACGGCUAACUACGUGCCAGCCGCCGCGGUAACAC
rnacentral:rRNA from 1 species